rnacentral:rRNA from 1 species
CCUACGUGAGGCUGCAGUGAGGAAUAUUGGUCAAUGGGCGCGAGCCUGAACCAGUCAAGUAGCGUGAAGGAUGACUGCCCUACGGGUUGUAAACUUCUUUUAUCAAGGAAUAAAGUGAGGCACGUGUGCCUUUUUGUAUGUACUUUAUGAAUAAAGAUCGGCUAACUCCGUGCCAGCAGCCGCGGUAAUACGGGGGAUCCGAGCGUUAUCCGGAUUUAUUGUGUUUAAAGGGAGCGUAGAUGGGUUGUUAAGUCAGUUGUGAAAGUUUGCGGCUCAACCGUAAAAUUGCAAUUGAUACUGGCAGCCGUGAGUACAGUUGAGGUAGGCGGAAUUCGUGGUGGAGCGGUGAAAUGCUUAGAUAUCACGAAGAACUCCGAUUGCGAAGGUAGCCUACUAAACUGCCACUGACAUUGAUGCUCGAAAGUGUGGGUAUCAAACAGGAUUAGAUACCCUUGUAGUC